rnacentral:rRNA from 1 species
UACGUAGGGUGCAAGCGUUGUCCGGAAUUCUUGGGCGUAAAGGGCUCGUAGGCGGUCUGUCGCGUCUGCUGUGAAAACUCGGGGCUUAACCCCGGGCCUGCAGUGGGUACGGGCAGACUAGAGUGCGGUAGGGGAGACUGGAAUUCCUGGUGUAGCGGUGAAAUGCGCAGAUAUCAGGAGGAACACCGGUGGCGAAGGCGGGUCUCUGGGCCGUAACUGACGCUGAGGAGCGAAAGCGUGGGGAGCGAACAGG